rnacentral:piRNA from 1 species
UGGGUAGCUCAGAAUCAAGUCUUGGAGGAC